ACACUCGGCCAAUCAGCGGCCGCCCCUGGAGCUGAGGGGGCGGGGCCGAGGCUUGAGUCCCGAAGAGGCGCUUGGCGACAGGAAAAGGGGACGUGGAGUGGCAGGCGCGCUGGCCAAUCGGGACGAGAGGAGCGAAUCUUGGCGAGUGAGUGGGGUUUGGCGCGUGGAAGACUUGAAGGCGUUACAAAACGAGUUACAAUGUGAACGUGUGUGCCUGCGGUGGAGGAGACUUGUAGUCAUCUUCCCAGCCCACUGGACCACUCUCUCUUGGGGUGUGAUACCUUCUGCAGCAGAAUGGCUGACUGGCCAGAGGUUCCCGUCACUUUGAACCCUGAGCCAUUAUCAAGAUGUCUCUAAGGCAAGUUUUAUCAUCAAGACAACAUUGACUUCCUAAGGGCUGCUUUUCUGGGGAUGCUGAGUCUUGACAGGCUGCAGUGCUUCCAAGGGCUCAUGGUGCUCUGCAGCAGAACUGCCUGAGAGGACACGGAAAGGCUCUGUUCGGCUUCCGUGAAGUUGCUGGUGCUGAAGUCAUGAGCUGAUGAGGAAGAGUGCAUGAGGGACAGAAGGAAGCACUUCUGGAGACAGGAAGGAAAAGACAAAGGUGCAUCUAUCUUCUCAUUACAAGGUAAAGGAGACAGCAUGGCACAGGAGUCAACAGCAGGGCUUGAAUGGGGGACCAGAAAAGAAGUUCCCAAAAGACUUUGAAAAGACAGAGCCCUGUCCAAACAGGGUCAUAACAACCAGGACUGGACUCUAACCUGAAUACAAAGAAAUACACAGAAUGCUUCUGUAGCUAGAGUUUUCCUGCCUUGCCCACAGUCAGGACAAAUCUUUGUCACCCGCCAGUCCCACGGCUGCUCAGACCCAACCAAGUAAACACAGAGACUUACAUUGCUUACAAACUGUAUGGCCAUGGCAGGCUUCUUGCUAACUGUUCUUAUAGCUUAAAUUAAUCCAUUUCCAUAAAUCUAUACCUUGCCAUGUGGUUCGUGGCUUACCAGCAUCUUCACAUGCUGCUUGUCAUGGUGGCAGCUGGCAGUGACUCCUUCCACCUUCCUGUUCUUUCUUUUCUCCUCUCUGUUAGUCCCGCCUAUACUUCCUGCCUAGCCACUGGCCAAUCAGUGUUUUAUUUAUUGACCAAUCAGAGCAAUUUGACAUACAGACCAUCCCACAGCACCAUGCCUCCAUGCAAAGGAUCAUAUGACGACAUUCUAAGCCUCUGUUAUGUUUUGAAUGUGAAAUGUCCCCCAUAGGCUCAUGUGUUUGACAACUUGGUGGCACUACUUGGGAAGGUUGGGUCUGUUUAGGAGGUGGGGUCUCACGGAAGGAAGUACAUUACAGGGGAUGGGAUUUGAGGUCUUAUAGACAAUAAGUCUAACUUGCUGUUUUCUUGAUGCUUCCUGAGUGUAGAUAUACUGUGACAAGGCAGCUUCCUGCUCUUGGCCACCAUGCCUUUCCUGCCAGGAUGGACGCUAUCCUUCUGGAACUAUAAGCCAAAAUACUUUUUCUCCCUUAAGAUGUUUUUGUCAGAGCACUUCCCUACAGAAACAAAGGAGAAAUUAAUAUACCCUUUAAAUGUGGGGUUUUUUUCCUGUUGGAGAUGUAAACUACAAAUUCAAUGAAAGUGUACACAUUAAGCCAAGUGCAUACAACUCAAGUCCCAACUAUUUGAGAGACAAAGACAAAAGGAUUCUAGAGGUUCAAAGCCAGCCUCACCUUAUCUAUGUACAUAACAAGACCCUAUCUCAAAAGAAAGCCACUGACAUCAUAGGGAAUGUAUUAAGAGAGCACACACAGCCACCCCAUCCCACUACCCAUCAGUUCUGAAUGCCCAUCAACAAGGACCUGGCAGGUGCACACAUAAUGCAUCUGGGGAAAAGACUGAAGCAAUGAAGUCCACAAUCUCUUUAGGAAAGAAAGACAGCUGUAGAACAAUAGGAUUUCCAUGUCCUGGGUGAAAAGUGAAGGCAUUGUAUGAAGGCUGCUUUUAAUAUGAAAAGGAAGGUUUGUUUCUACAGGAAGUAUCACCAGAAGAAUGUAUAAGAAAGUGGUCCUCUUCUGGAGGAGGACACAAAUGGGGCCUGCUGUGGGAAGCUUACUUCACUCUCAUUUGAUCUUUUGCUGUAUUGUUUGAAUCCUAUGCUAUGUGUAUGCCUGUUUUAAAAUAUUAGAAGCACAGAAUUAACACCAUACAUCACAGCUUGUUCUAUGGACACAUUUCUCUUUCCAUGCCCACCUGCCUGCUCAAAAAUGGCUCUACAUUCUGUCUGCUCUAUAAACCUCCACCCUUAAAUCCGUAGUCAUUCCUAGACUGCGUGCACCUGGGCACACUCAAUUUUUCUCAAUUAUUUUUUGUCUGCUUUUCCUGCUCUAUAGUUGUUUUGAGACAGAGUCUCAUGUAGCCCAGACUGCCCUUGAAUUUUUUGUGUACUUAAGGAUGGCCUUGCACUUUUGAUACUCUUGCCUGUAGCUGCCUGGUGCUUUGAUUACAAGCAUGUGCCACUGUGCCCAGUUUAUAUGAUGCCUGGAUCGGUUCCAUGGCCCCGUGUUUGCUAGCACACUGUCAACUGACUGUACCCUCAGGCGCUCUCAACUCCUUCUUCAUUAAUUGAAGCUAAUGCUUGGGGAAGUGUUCAGAGCCUCAUGGGAAAGCCUCUGCUUGAACUCUGUGCUGCUGAUAAACUUACUCUCUCGUGGCCAGGAACAAACGGUAUCUUUCUGACUUUUGUUUACCACUCUAGCUUCCUUAUCGUUUCCUCAGUCAUCCCACGUUUUUCUUGUCCACAGAAUACUGGGUCAGAACCCCUAAAGAACUAAUGUAUAAUUUUUACAAUUAAAACAAAAAAGAAACGAAUGAGCUUUGGAAAGUAAAGAUGAGAACCAUUUCCAAGAACUCAUGCUUGAAGGCAGGUGUGCCUUGGAGACUUUGAGUCCCAAGUACAAGAAGGACCUUUGUCUCAUAUGCCUUUGACUCCCAAAUGCUCGCUUUGCCCUAUAGUCUCUACUCAGAAAAUAAAGUAGGAGGUAAAAUACAUUUUUGGAGAUGCAGUUUUCUAUGCUAUUGCCAUUUCAUCACAGAAGUUAAUCUGGAGCACAAUCAGCCUUGUCAUCAAACUUCAGAAAUCUGAACCUUAAGUGUUGCACAAAAUAGCAGUUUGCAUCCAGUCUUAACCUGUAAUGUUGGUUCUGUUGUCUUCAACUUCAUGUUUUUAUUUAUUCUAGCUCCUGUGAACCCAAAAUAUGAAACAAAAAUUAUGAUAUUUUUAUUUAACUGAGAAAGGAGAAUGCAAGCUGUUAAACCAAGGACCUUUCUUAAACCGUCUUCCAACACUUUAUGCGAUCAGUCAUAAUAUUUAUAUGUACUCAAGCACUUUGAAAUCUCAAGCUGUUUGAACCAGCUGUCAUGUUUGUGUCAAACUGCGGUCAUUUGAAUGUGAAACAAGGGUCAAUGGCAGUGGUGGGGGCGGUAUGUCUUCUUCCUUUCCUAUUAGUGAAAUCAUUUACAGCUAUGGAACUCUGCUUCAAUGCUUCAGCAAUGAGUCCCUGCUGCAGAUUCCUGUUAUCUAGGUCACAUGGAAUUUCAUGAUUGUUCCCAAGCAAACUAUGUAGAAGAAAAGUGUUAAAUAUGUAAAUAACUAUCAACAACCAAAUAUACACACUGCCCAGUCCUGUAUAUGUAUUUUUGGCAUUAACCAAGACACAUUUAUAUCUGAGACUGAUUUCUAGUAUGUAUGUAAUGCCAAUUGAUUUCUGUCUUUUUGAAUAUGUCUGAAAGAAAAUGCAUGGUGACUUUUUAUUGCCUGUUUCAGGAUUUGUAAAAAAAUAAACUUUUAAUGCAAUAUUGGCUUUUAAAUUUUAGUGGAAAAUAAAUUGCUUAUGCCUGAA